UUCAACAACGGAUCUCUUGGUUCUCGCAUCGAUGAAGAACGCAGCGAAACGCGAUAGUUAAUGUGAAUUGCAGAAUUCAGUGAAUCAUCGAGUCUUUGAACGCACAUUGCGCCCAUAGGUAUUCCUUUGGGCAUGUCUGUUUGAGCGUCAUUACAAC
rnacentral:rRNA from 1 species